GACGAACGCUGGCGGCGUGCCUAAUACAUGCAAGUAGAACGCUGAAGGAGGAGCUUGCUUCUCUGGAUGAGUUGCGAACGGGUGAGUAACGCGUAGGUAACCUGCCUGGUAGCGGGGGAUAACUAUUGGAAACGAUAGCUAAUACCGCAUAAUAGUAGAUGUUGCAUGACAUUUGCUUAAAAGGUGCAAUUGCAUCACUACCAGAUGGACCUGCGUUGUAUUAGCUAGUUGGUGGGGUAACGGCUCAACAAGGCGACGAUACAUAGCCGACCUGGGAGGGUGAUCGGCCACACUGGGACUGGGACAACGCCCAGACUCCUACGGGAGGCAGCAGGAGGGGAACUUCGGCAAUGGACGGAAGUCUGACCGAGCAACGCCGCGGGAGUGAAGAAGGGUUUCGGAUCGUAAAGCUCUGUUGUAAGGGAAGAACGAGUGGUAGAGGGGAAAGUUCACACUGUGACGGUAUCUUACCAGAAAGCGACGGCUAACUACGUG
rnacentral:rRNA from 1 species